rnacentral:rRNA from 1 species
CAGUAGCCGCGGGAAUACGUAGGGUGCAAGCGUUAAUCGGAAUUACUGGGCGUAAAGCGUGCGCAGGCGGUUCGCUAAGACAGAUGUGAAAGCCCCCGGCUCAACCGGGGAGGGUCAUUGGAAACUGGGAAACUUGAGUGCAGAAGAGGAGAGUGGAAUUCCACGUGUAGCGGUGAAAUGCGUAGAGAUGUGGAGGAACACCAGUGGCGAAGGCGACUCUCUGGUCUGUAACUGACGCUGAGGAGCGAAAGCGUGGGGAGCGAACAGGAUUAGAUACCCCGGUAGUCCCUGUCUCUUAUAA